GAUGAACGCUAGCGGCAGGCCUAACACAUGCAAGUCGAACGGUAACAGUUCCUUCGGGAAGCUGACGAGUGGCGCACGGGUGCGUAACGCGUAUGCAACCUACCUCUAUCAGGGAGAUAGCCCGGAGAAAUUCGGAUUAAUAUCCCAUAGUAUUGUUGAUUGGCAUCUAUUAACAAUUAAAGCUUCGGCGGAUAGAGAUGGGCAUGCGUCCUAUUAGCUAGUUGGUAAGGUAACGGCUUACCAAGGCAACGAUAGGUAGGGGGCCUGAGAGGGUGAUCCCCCACACUGGUACUGAGACACGGACCAGACUCCUACGGGAGGCAGCAGUGAGGAAUAUUGGUCAAUGGGCGAAAGCCUGAACCAGCCAUGCCGCGUGCAGGAUGACUGCCCUAUGGGUUGUAAACUGCUUUUAUACAGGAAUAAACCCCCGGACGUGUCCGGGGCUGAAGGUACUGUAAGAAUAAGGAUCGGCUAACUCCG
rnacentral:rRNA from 1 species